rnacentral:rRNA from 1 species
GUCUAUGGCCAUACCACCCUGAACGCACCCGAUCUCGUCUGAUCUUGGAAGCUAAGCAGGGUCAGGCCUGGUUAGUACUUGGAUGGGAGAUUAGGUGACCUGCAUG